AUUGAACGCUGGCGGCAUGCUUUACACAUGCAAGUCGAACGGUAACAGGGAGCUUGCUCCGCUGACGAGUGGCGAACGGGUGAGUAAUGCGUCGGAACGUGCCGAGUAGUGGGGGAUAACGCAUCGAAAGGUGUGCUAAUACCGCAUACGUACUGAGGUAGAAAGUGGGGGACCUUCGGGCCUCACGCUAUUCGAGCGGCCGACGUCUGAUUAGCUAGUUGGUGAGGUGAAGGCUCACCAAGGCGACGAUCAGUAGCGGGUCUGAGAGGAUGAUCCGCCACACUGGGACGGAGACACGGCCCAGACUCCUACGGGAGGCAGCAGUGGGGAAUUUUGGACAAUGGGCGCAAGCCUGAUCCAGCCAUGCCGCGUGUCUGAAGAAGGCCUUCGGGUUGUAAAGGACUUUUGUCCGGGAGCAAAUGCUGGUGGCUAACAUCCACCGGAGCUGAAAGUACCGGAAGAAUAAGCACCGGCUAACUACGUGCCAGCCGCCGCAGUAACAC
rnacentral:rRNA from 1 species